AUUUACCACAUUUUUCGCAAACUAUUUAUCAAAAUCAAAUAUCGCGCCGUUGAGCUGAAGAAAUUGGCAACUGCGCGUCUCAAUUCUGAGUUUCUGACGGAAGUUCGUCUGCAGUGCAGUGUACGGCGCUCUCGCGAGUCGCGAAAUGAAGUAUUGAAGUUUGAGCUCUUGGCAUUGUUUCAUUUGAGUAAGCAUUUGAGACUUUGAGUAAUAAGUCCGUUCACGGAUAGUUUUCUAUUGUUUCUGGACUUUUAGUAGUAGUACCGGUUGUCUUGUUACAUGUGGUUGGAACAAAGAAAUCGAGUCAAGAUUCUAUUUGCUUGAAACUGCCCAGGAUUCUCAGAUCACAAUGGAAAAGUAUAGAAUUUUAUCUCUUUGUGUGAAGAAUUAAGCGAUGAACAAAUACCUAAUGCAGUGGUCUCAAACAUUCUGUUGCGGCCAUAGCUACCCCAAAUCAAUGUAGCUUUGGUUUCCCAUAACAUGAAUGACAACAUUCUCGAAUUCCUUAUUUUUCUUCUCAGCCUCUGGAAUCUUUGGGUUACAACCGACAAAGUGCAUAUACUGGUUUGAUGCAAACAUAUCUUUGUUGAAGAAACUGAUAUUGCUGCUGUGUACCUG